AUGGGCAGUGUGAUGUGGUGGAAACUGUCCCGGUAGGAAAAACCUAGCUGUGGGCCUUGUGCACAUCCCUUCCUUCAUCUACAAUCUCAGGGCAUUGGCCUGAUAAUCUGGAAAAUCUCUGCCCAUAUUCUAUAAUUCUACUGCAGUCCAGAAUGCAUAAUUCUGCCACACGUCAAAAGACUACAAGAAAGAAUUUGUAAUUAAUGGACAACUGUGGGAUAUUUGUUUCCCUUCUGCAUUAGAAAUAUAAUCAAAGAUUCUACAUUUUAGGAGAGAGAGAGUCUGGCUGGCAAAGUUUGCCUCAGCCAAGUGCCUGCCCCUUUGAUGUAUCCACGCAGUGAGGGUCGGAAUCUGGCCACUGGAGCCUGGAGGAGACGCCUGAGCUUCCACAGCAAAAGAGCAGGUGGACAUAAGCCAUGACAGUAAUGAGGGAGUGCAGAAAUAGCACCAGGAAGACAAAGGCUCUGGAUUCAAGGCUGCGAUUGGUGAACCAAAGCAGAAGAAGCAUCAACUAUACAACAACACAAAUCAUCAGGAACAAAUAAUUUGAUUCAUUGUGGCAGACUUACUAAAUUAAGGAAGUGAAUCAUAUUGGAAUACAGAAAAAUUCAAAGCAUUCAGAUGCACUGAAAGUUAAAUGUAAUUUUCAUAGAAUUAAAUA
rnacentral:lncRNA from 1 species